rnacentral:lncRNA from 1 species
AAAAAUUCCCAAAAAUUCCAGAUUUUCUUCUGCAAGUUCUAUUAGCAAAAUUUGAAUUUCAACUUCAAGGAAGAGAAAUAAUCUGAACACUUAGUGUAGAAAUACUGUUACAUUGAAGUCUCUAGGGUAGUUUCAAGUUCUAGUCAUUGAUUCUUAUUUCCUAGCUGGACUCUCAACUGUUGAAGCUUCAAAAGUGUCAUGG